AAGGUUACUGAAUUCAUUGGAGAGUGAGUGUGUUCCCGAAUUUGCCUCUUAUUAACCACUGUGAACCAGCGCUACCGCAUCAAACGGAUAAAUUAUCUCCAAAAAUCCAAACACGUGAUGCCUCAGCUCAUCGUCCUGACAAGGGAAAUCUGGCCACCAUGUCAUGAGAACACUUGUGCAGCUAUGUGGAAUGAUCCACUUAUCAAGGAACUAAGACGG